CCCUAUGGAUGAGCGAAAAAGGUGGUUUCUUGAGAUCGAAUCUACUCCUGAUGAAGAUGCUGUGAA
rnacentral:pre_miRNA from 1 species